rnacentral:rRNA from 1 species
CGUACCUAGGAGGUCUGGAAACUGGAUCACGCUUCGAGGGUGAGAGAAAGGGAACAGAUCGUCAGGUGUUACAUAGCUGUCGUCAGUUCGUGCCGUGAGGUCUUUGGUUCAGUCCAAGUAACGAACGUAACCCAAGUCCCUCCGGAUCGGAAGAGAUUUCGAUACCGGGAGGGAGAAAGCUCAAGACAAUUGAGAGGAAGUUGGAUGAAGUCAAGUCCGUAUGACCCAAAUGGUACGGGCUAUCGGUGUGUUACAAGGGUCUCGAAACAAAGGGUAGCGAUGAUGCGAAUCGGAGCGAAUCCCAGAAAACGGAUCGAAAUUCAGAUUGUAGACUGAAACUCGUCUACAUGAAGUUGGAACAGGUAGUAAUCGGUGAUCAGAACGCAUCGGUGAACAUGAUUCGAAGUGUUGGACUUACCGCCCGGCAGUGCUGAAACUGUUGGAUCCAAAGUGAGGGAAGACCAAGCUGGGAGGAUUUGGAGCUUCCUUAUGACUAGCUGGGUGG